UAAGUCAGGAAAGAUUUCGUUUUACAUUC
rnacentral:piRNA from 1 species